rnacentral:rRNA from 1 species
AACGAACGCUGGCGGCGUGGAUAAGACAUGCAAGUCGAACGGGGGAAGUUGGUAGCAAUACUGGCUUCCUUAGUGGCGCACGGGUGAGUAACACGUGAGUUACAUGCCCUGCAGCGGGGAAUAGCCCGCCGAAAGGCGGAUUAAUACCCCAUGGUCCCGCAAGGGUAAAGGCGGCGCAAGCUGCCACUGCAGGAUUGGCUCGCGGCCUAUCAGCUUGUUGGCGGGGUAACGGCCCACCAAGGCUACGACGGGUAGCUGGUCUGAGAGGACGACCAGCCACACUGGAACUGAGACACGGUCCAGACACCUACGGGAGGCUG